rnacentral:lncRNA from 1 species
CUCAUUCUCUCCAAACAACUGACUGCUCUCAUCUCCCAUGGCUCCGUAAUAUUUGUGUGUGUGGGGGUGUGUUUUUAUCUCCCUGUCUGUGUGUGUUUGAGAAAGUGAUUCAGUCUCUCUUUCUGUGCGAUGGCACUACUGCCUAAGGAGGCAGAACGAUUCGAUGGGCUAUCUCUGCUAUACUGGACUGUCAUGGGGCCUCACGGCAUCAACCGGGCCAUCGAGAGACUGGAGUUCUGCGACUGCAAGAAAGGACUGGGGGUGAAGAUCAUCGGUGGCUACAGAGAGCAGACACGUGAGGAGUUUGGGAUCUUCAUCAAGCGGGUGUUACCGGGAGGGCUGGCUGCUCAGGAUGGGAGGCUUAGAACGGGCGACCUCAUUUUGGAAGUCAAUAAUAUGAGUUUAGGAGGAGUAACCAACGAGAGGGCGGUGGAUAUCCUCCGGUCAGCAUCAGCCUCCAAUCACAUGUCUCUGAUGGUUGCCAGGGACGAUGAAAGCAGGCGGGAGGUCAUUGAGUUGAUGAAUAAGUAUGGCUCCAAAGCAGUUGUAAAAGGAAGCUCAGGAGGGUCCCUCCUACACAGCUAGCUACAGGUGAGUUUUCUGUUCCAG